rnacentral:sRNA from 1 species
GGAAGCUAGGGUUAGAGGCAACCCGUGAGGCUAGAACCCCGAACGUGGUCGGUUGGAGCAAAUAUGUCCCUCCGGAGGCACAUUGGGAACCCUGAGUAUCUGAUGAAAAGGAUACCACAGAACCCAAGAUACCAGCAUAUCAAAUCAAGACUGGACACUGGUGCCUGUGUGUAUCUUACCAGCUCCCCAGCACUGCCAGACUGUGCCAUGAAUGGAUUAUGCUUCUGAUGAAAUCCCUGGCUGCGUUUUGUUCAGUCACCACCGCAGGGUUCUUGUAUAUUCUCAAGCACCCUCUCUGGGUUUCUGUUUUGCAGCACUGCAGGCUGAUUAAGGGACACUUUCCAAACCACAGGGCUCUCCCUUUAUUAGUCCCCACAGUCUUUCAUUGGCUGCAUUGUCCUCCCAUUUCUAUCUAUAUUCAAUCUAAUUUCCAAUUUCUUUAGCUUUCUGAAAUUCUGUAGGCUUUCUCCACUCAGUCUUUUCUAGCCUUAUUUUUGUCUUUUAAAAAUUCACCUUCCUUUUAUUAUCUCUAGACAAACUAUUCAUUCCCUCUUUUCUUCUUUAGGCUUUACUUUUCCUGAAUAUUUGCUAAUAGCCUUGACUGUAAGCAUCAAACUCAUUAUAGACUAGGUACUCUUCAUUUUUAUUUGUUGUUUAAUUCUGUUUCUUCCGUCAAAGGAAGAAAUAUAUGUGAAAGGCUUUUAUAAACCAGAAAGCACUAUACACACAUAU